rnacentral:rRNA from 1 species
GUACACGCUGUGACUAGCAUAUCAAUAAGCGGAGGAAAAGAAACUAACAAGGAUUCCCCUAGUAACGGCGAGUGAAGCGGGAAGAGCUCAAAUUUGAAAUCUUAAAGGGUUUCCCUUUACGAAUUGUAGUUUAAAGAAGUGUUUUCUGUUGAGGUUUUUGGUAAAAGUUCUUUGGAAUAGGACAUCAUAGAGGGUGAGAAUCCCGUAUUUGACCUUUACUUUCAACUUUGUGAUACACUUUCAAAGAGUCGGAUUGUUUGGGAAUGCAGUCCAAAAUGGGUGGUAAAUUUCAUCUAAAGUUAAAUAUUGGCGAGAGACCGAUAGCGAACAAGUACCGUGAGGGAAAGAUGAAAAGAACUUUGAAAAGAGAGUUAAACAGUACGUGAAAUUGUCAAAAGGGAAGCGUUUGACACCAGUGUUGUUUUUCUGAAAAUCAAUUAAAGAACUGUUUAUGCUAAGCUGUUUAGACUUUAUCAGCUAAUCUGUUUAGUUUUGAGCUUUUCUUUAAUGCACUUUUCAGUUAACAAGUCAACAUCAAUUUCUUUUGCUGUAAAAAAGCUUGAGGAAGGUGGCUUGAGAUUCGUCUUAAGUGUUUAUAGCCUCUUGCCUAUGCAGUCGGAGAGAUUGAGGUCUGCAGCGUAGAUCCUUCGGGGCUAAAUGCAUUUGUGCUAAGUUAUAGCAUUUUAUAGACGGACUUGUUGACUAUGAUUUGUCUUGUAGCUUACUCGCUUAUGUUAUUUUACCUACGCUUAGGAUGUUGAAGAUGUAGCACAUCAU